rnacentral:rRNA from 1 species
UACGGGGGGAGCAAGCGUUGUUCGGAUUUACUGGGCGUAAAGGGCGCGUAGGCGGCCAGCACAAGUCAGUUGUGAAAUCUCCGAGCUUAACUCGGAAAGGUCAACUGAUACUGUGCGGCUAGAGUGCAGAAGGGGCAACUGGAAUUCUUGGUGUAGCGGUGAAAUGCGUAGAUAUCAAGAGGAACACCUGCGGCGAAGGCGGGUUGCUGGGCUGACACUGACGCUGAGGCGCGAGAGCUAGGGGAGCGAACGGG